rnacentral:lncRNA from 1 species
AGGUUUUCCCAUGCAAAUAUGCAUGUCAAAAACCUUACUUAGAUGCUUAAUUCCUUCUUUAAAUCAUAGGGCAUGCAAAAUCUGUGAGGAGCAUGUGAAACAUUGAGGUUCAUCUGAGCAGCAACACCACCAGUGAGAGACAGGAGAGAGAGAGCUGGGCAUCUUCUGUUUUUGCUACAUUGCAGUUGUCUGUGCUGUGUCGCGGUGUCCCUCUCCUGGUAUGACCCUCCGGAACUUCUCAGUGAGAUUUGGAGGUAUGCCUUAUUCUUCUGUCACUUAACAUUUUACUGUAAUUCCUGUUUUUCAGCACGCGUGCAAAUGCUACAAUAUACAGCAGCAUUCUCACCUGCACCCCUGCCCAAGGAAAAGGUUUGCUGUAGCAGCUGGACGGUACUGAUCCGGUCCUAGAGGAUAGGUCCUAGGAUAUUAGUACAUGCAAGUAUUUGUAAUGGGGCAACAGAGGCAGCAAGUGCAAAAACUGGAUUCAGGUGACAGUCUGAGGUUUUACUUAUAGGAAAAAAGGCACAGGGCUCCCUUGUAAUUUACCUGCUUGAGAAAACCUGUGCUUUGGCCAGAAAAAAUCAAAGCCUGGAUAGUCCACUAACUGGCAGUGAAAGGCUGGCUUAAAAUAGCUCUGUGUCCUUGUCUCGAGAUAUUUCACAAGGGGAAAUGACUUGAGCGUGUCAGUAGUGAUGUGGAUAAUCAAAGCUGUACUUUUUAAACAUAUUUUCCUUACCUAAAGGUCAAAAGAGCAAGAUACCUCUGGUGCUUUUAC